GACGAACGCUGGCGGCGUGCCUAAUACAUGCAAGUCGAACGAAGCUGUUUUAACUGGUGCUUGCACCGACUUAAACAACUGAGUGGCGAACGGGUGAGUAACGCGUGGGUAACCUGCCCCAAAGCGGGGGAUAACAUUUGGAAACAGAUGCUAAUACCGCAUAACCACAGAAACCACAUGGUUUCUGUGUCAAAGAUGGUUUCGGCUAUCACUUUGGGAUGGACCCGCGGCGUAUUAGCUAGUUGGUAAGGUAAUGGCUUACCAAGGCAAUGAUACGUAGCCGAACUGAGAGGUUGAUCGGCCACAUUGGGACUGAGACACGGCCCAAACUCCUACGGGAGGCAGCAGUAGGGAAUCUUCCACAAUGGACGAAAGUCUGAUGGAGCAACGCCGCGUGAGUGAGGAAGGUUUUCGGAUCGUAAAACUCUGUUGUCAGAGAAGAACGUGUGCGAGAGUAACUGCUCGUGCAGUGACGGUAUCUGGCCAGAAAGCCACGGCUAACUACGUGCCAGCCGCCGCGGUAA
rnacentral:rRNA from 1 species